rnacentral:rRNA from 1 species
AUCAUUAACUAUUGAUCAAGCACUUUGCUGCGGGACGCAAGUCUCCAGUAUUGUUUGCUUCUACACUGUGAACUUUGGCGAUGGAGAUUGUAAUGAUCUCUGAGAGAGACUCAGGACACUGGCCAUAUGGGUAGGCUUGUUCUGGGGUUUGAUCGAUGCCAAUCAGGCCUUUCGGGGCCUGGUACCCUUCUACAUAUACUUUGAAUUCAGAAUUAAAAGUAAUAUAAUAACAACUUUUAACAAUGGAUCUCUUGGUUCUCGCAUCGAUGAAGAACGUAGCAAAGUGCGAUAACUAGUGUGAAUUGCAUAUUCGUGAAUCAUCGAGUCUUUGAACGCAGCUUGCACUCUAUGGUUCUUCCAUAGAGUACGCCUGCUUCAGCAUCAUAACAAUCCCACACAUAAAAUUUUUUAUGUGGUUAUGGGCAAUUCUUUCAUAGUAUGGAAUCGCCUAAAAAAUUCUAGGUAUGGGUGCUUGAAUAAAGGAUCUAUACCUCCAAUCCAUUUUUUGGGAGACCAAGGAAACAGGAUUGGGCUAACCGACAUACCCUCAUAUAUGAUCUGAAGUCAGGUGGGACUACCC